AGGCCCCUGGACAUUAGAGAAACAAUCAGGCUUCUGGAGGUGGAAUCAAACCUAUCAGCUGAAGAAAUGGGAAGGGUACAGAACGUGGCCUCUUCCUGGGACCUCCCUCCGCUAACCACAACCAACAGGGCCCUUAAUGCUCUGCGGUGAAAAAUGGAGCAACAAGGCUGACCGUGACAUCGGGAGAGCUGAGGCAGAUCAUCUUAAACAUGAUGCACCUGGACGGUCCGGUGGCGGAGACUUCAAGAAUUAAAUAAAAUUACAAUGAAAUGGAUAA